rnacentral:lncRNA from 1 species
GCAACCAGAAGCUAGAUGGCUGACCCAUGGUACAAACUCCAAGCAUCACCACGGACAGAAUACAAGGAGUUACGUGGCAUUCUAUAGAUGGAUGAAAGCAUCUUUAAGUCUAUGUUGCAGCCCAUCAAACGGUUCAUUAUUUAGACUUCCCAAUAAAGAGUUAUGCUCAUUUUAGUAACUGCUGCCAGAAGCUGAGAAGACGCGCGAACCAGCCACGAAAUCCACUAGUGGAUGUGCAUGCUGUCAUGUAUUCAAAGCUGAACGCCCC